AGAUGAUUGUGAAAUUUUACUCCCCUAUUAGUCUCUUUGUGAGAUUUUUUGAGGAAAUUGAAGAGGGAUUCAAAAUAAGUGAGAGUGAUAGUGAACUCCCAUCCCAUGAGCACCUUGUUCAAGCCAAUGGAUUUCGUGUUUAUUACUGUUAGAGCUUGAAGCUCCUAACUAGCUAGGUGUCGCCCAUGGAGGCCCCAAAGCUUGCGGUGUGCUCGGCGAAGUUUGUAUCAGCACGACAAUCGAGUAACAAAACUCUAGCUUGAUCUUUGUGGUUGCUACGACAAUCGAGUAACAAAACUCUAG
rnacentral:lncRNA from 1 species